UACGGGGGGGGGCAAGCGUUGUUCGGAAUUACUGGGCGUAAAGGCUCGUAGGCGGCCAACUAAGUCAGACGUGAAAUCCCUCGGCUUAACCGGGGAACUGCGUCUGAUACUGGAUGGCUUGAGUUUGGGAGAGGGAUGCGGAAUUCCAGGUGUAGCGGUGAAAUGCGCAGAUAUCAGGAGGAACACCGGUGGCGAAGGCGGGUCUCUGGGCCGAUACUGACGCUGGAGGAGCGAAAGCGUGGGGAGCGAACAGG
rnacentral:rRNA from 1 species